ACGUCACUAAAUAAUUCCUGAAUGGACUAUAGGUGUAUUUGAAAAAAUUAAAUUUAAUUUUAUCAAUGUCAAACAUCAAAGUAUAGAACAAAUAGAAACUUACUGACUAUUUUUUUUUCUUGUUUUCUUAUUAGUUUCUAACCUCAAAAUUGUGUUUCGUGUUUAAUCUGGUCUUUAGAUAAUCAGUCCUGGGAUUGGACUUCCAAGACUCCUGUUGCCCCAGGACCCAGGAUCAAGACUGACAUUCACACUACCGAGAUUGGGUACAUGGUUUUUCAGGCUGAGCCCAUAUUCAGACUCUCUCAAUCAGAUUGAUCUGUUUGAGAAAAAGAAGAAAACUAACCAAAGAGUACUCAUCACAGAGUGAAGAUGGAAAUGGGAGAAAAUGAUGAAAGCAAUGAAAAAGGAAAUUCAUUCGACUUAGCUUCUCAGUACACGACUGAUGGGGGGCAUAUUGAUGAAAAGACUGAAAUCAUGGAUAUUGCUCAUCAUUGCACUGAUGAGAAUGGAAUAAGACCGUCUAUUAAAUAUGAAAUAGGCGAGUUUG